ensembl:lncRNA
CAGAAUUUCAGUAAAACCUGACACCAACACAUUCACACAUUCUCCUUUGAGGCUGAUUGCUGACACACUGCAGUCUGUUCAGAGCAAAGCACACGUUUGCUUUGAAAGCUGCUGACUGGAUCAACAGUGAGGAGACAUGGAAGCUGUAGUUGGACUGUUGUUGAUGAUGUUUGGAGUAUCUCAUGGUACUUCCUGGUUCAUACAUGGUUUGAAAGCAGUGGUGGUAAUUAUAUCAUUAAGUGGGAUUUGGAUCUAUUUCACUUGGAAGAAAAAAGCAAUAUUGGAAGGCUCUGCUGUCCCACAAAGGAUGGAAUCUCCAGAUAACUCUGUUUUAAUGACUGAAAUGAGUCCUUACUCCAACACUUAGUGUCACCUUUCACCUGCUGUAAAUUCACUGUGUGUCCUUACAGGUGUGCAGAUGAGGACUAGGGUGAUUUUUCUUCUUUUUCUUCCUUCUUUUGUCAUAUGUAGUGCACAAGGACACAUUUGUUUUCACCUUUUGGUGUGUUUGUGUUAGUUCACAAUGUGAUUUCAGUGUGUGAAUAAAGAGGU